CCGGAGUUGGCGAUGGACAGGAAGGCCUGGCGUGCUGCAAUUCACGGGUCGCAAAGAGUCGGACAUGACUGAGCGACUGAACUGAACUGACAAUUAAAACAAAGACUUUGACAAUAUUAAUAAUUAUACUGAAUAAAACGAGAAGAAAAAUACUAAUUAUUUCUAACCCUCAGACUGUAACUUUGUAUUAAUAAAAAAAAAUAAUACUGUGUGAUUGGUACAGAAAUGCUUCAUCAGAUUCAGAAUAAUAUUUUCCACAUCAUGUAAAACACCUUAUUUUACCAAGUAAGAAUGUGGGUACUAAUGGUUUCAAACAAUGCUUGAAAGAGCAAGAUCUCCAUCAAGUAGAAAGGAAAAUAAAAUAACUACAGAGUUCAAUUUCAUUCCAUUAAAUGGCCUUAAAUUAAAUUUCCCAUACAGGAAAAAGAUAAUUUUGAUGUGUGUAUUCAAAUACAGCAUACUACUCUUGAAAUACUGUGUGAUUAUUUCACAGAAAAUGAAAUUACAAUUAUGGUAGCAAAUACCUUAAGAUCUCAAUAUAAGCUCUUUGGCUUUGAAUGUGCUGGCUUUCAUCCAAAAGUUUUAAGUGAGAAAGUCACAUCGAUGUGAUUUUAAUCAUUCUUCAACAAACAAAGGAUCAUUUAUAAAAGUAAUGGUCAUAAAAACAAUUAACACCUAACAAAGGAAUGAAUUCUCAUGUUACAUGUGUUUCCCUGAACACACAUUUUCACACCAAAACAUUAAUAGAAAGGAAAAUAAAAUAACUACAGAGUUCAAUUUCAUUCCAUUAAAUGGCCUUAAAUUAAAUUUCCCAUACAGGAAAAAGAUAAUUUUGAUGUGUGUAUUCAAAUACAGCAUACUACUCUUGAAAUACUGUGUGAUUAUUUCACAGAAAAUGAAAUUACAAUUAUGGUAGCAAAUACCUUAAGAUCUCAAUAUAAGCUCUUUGGCUUUGAAUGUGCUGGCUUUCAUCCAAAAGUUUUAAGUGAGAAAGUCACAUCGAUGUGAUUUUAAUCAUUCUUCAACAAACAAAGGAUCAUUUAUAAAAGUAAUGGUCAUAAAACAAUUAACACCUAACAAAGGAAUGAAUUCUCAUGUUACAUGUGUUUCCCUGAACACACAUUUUCACACCAAAACAUUAAUAUGAGUGGGUUAUAUGAUUAAAACUCUCUUCUAAGCGAAUCUUUUACUUGUAUUUCUUAAUUAGAAAAUACAUGUGUCUUUCAGACACUUCUCCUCACCUGUACAAAGAACACUGGGAAGAAAACUUUGAACACCAGUUUUAAAACCCUCUGAAAUAUUUUAAAAGUAGGUCAUGCUUUCAUGAUUGAUAUGACUCUUAGCCAUGGAAAGUCCUCAAGUUGUCAGUGGACUUACAUUAGUAAUAUUUUAAAUUGUUAUUUUAAAAUCUCUGCAUUAAAAUUUUCAAAAUUCCUAAAAGUUUCUCGGUAGGUGUUUUUCAUUAGCAAGUAUCACUAAUUAAAAGACAAUCGGUUGAUUUCAAUGAAAAUUAGUCUCUCCUGGCUAAUUAGCAAAAAAAGCUUUCCUUCUGCUAGAGGAACUAGAUGUUUCUGGAUUGCAUUCAUUAUGGUAGAAAGUGAAAGCCUUUUGUUGGUGUACAAGUUAGGUAGCUCCCAAUUCAAAAUACAUUUUCUUUAAAAUUUAAUGUCACAAACAGAAGUUGGUUUUCUAAACUAGUCCACAAAAUUCUAUGCAAAUGAAAUUCAUCUUUAAAUGAAAUAAUGUUAUGUCAGUCUCAGGGCAGAAAAAUAUCAGAAAAUAAUUUCCUUUGCAAUACCCAUUCUAUCAUCAACACUCAACAUUAAACAAAAACAAAACACUAAUGGAAAUUAUGUAAGAAAUUUUUACUCCUCUUGGUGUUUGAAGCAAAAACAUAGUUUGGGCUGUUUUUAUAAAACAAACGAAUGAGAUGAUUUAAUAGCAAAAUUUAAUAGCAUACUUUGGGGAUGUAUCUUCAAGUCUGCUGCUAAGCUGCUAAGUUGCUUCAGUCGUGUCCGACUCUGUGCAACCCACAGACGGCGGCCCACCAGGCUCCCCGUCCCUGGGAUUCUCCAGGAAAGAACACUGGAGUGGGUUGCCAUUUCCUUUCCAAGUCUAGCUUCUGUUAACUCUAUUAUCUGUUCUAUAUAUUUAAUUUUUAGUGAAGCAUUCCUGGUUUCAAUACCCACUCUUUUCUUGCUAGUUGAUAAUACACUAGUAUUAUAUAGAAAAUUAUCAGUUUACAUUUAAUUAGCAAAAAAGCUUUCCUUCUGCUAGAGGAACUAGAUGUUUCUGGAUUGCAUUCAUUAUGGUAGAAAGUGAAAGCCUUUUGUUGGUGUACAAGUUAGGUAGCUCCCAAUUCAAAAUACAUUUUCUUUAAAAUUUAAUGUCACAAACAGAAGUUGGUUUUCUAAACUAGUCCACAAAAUUCUAUGCAAAUGAAAUUCAUCUUUAAAUGAAAUAAUGUUAUGUCAGUCUCAGGGCAGAAAAAUAUCAGAAAAUAAUUUCCUUUGCAAUACCCAUUCUAUCAUCAACACUCAACAUUAAACAAAAACAAAACACUAAUGGAAAUUAUGUAAGAAAUUUUUACUCCUCUUGGUGUUUGAAGCAAAAACAUAGUUUGGGCUGUU
ensembl:lncRNA